CACGUAGGAGGCGAGCGUUUGUCCGGAAUUAUUGGGCGUAAAGCGCACGUAGGCGGCUUAGCAAGUCGGAUGUGAAAUCCCUCGGCUCAACCAAGGAAGUGCAUCCGAAACUGCUGAGCUUGAGUACUUAAGAGGAUCGACGGAAUUCCCGGUGUAGAGGUGAAAUUCGAUAGAUAUCGGGAGGAACACCAGUGGCGAAGGCGGCGAUCUGGGAAGAUACUGACGCUGAGGUGCGAAAGCGUGGGGGAGCAAACAGG
rnacentral:rRNA from 1 species